AGUGAACGCUGGCGGUAGGCCUAACACAUGCAAGUCGAACGGCAGCACAGUAAGAGCUUGCUCUUACGGGUGGCGAGUGGCGGACGGGUGAGGAAUACAUCGGAAUCUACUUUUUCGUGGGGGAUAACGUAGGGAAACUUACGCUAAUACCGCAUACGACCUACGGGUGAAAGCAGGGGAUCUUCGGACCUUGCGCGAUUGAAUGAGCCGAUGUCGGAUUAGCUAGUUGGCGGGGUAAAGGCCCACCAAGGCGACGAUCCGUAGCUGGUCUGAGAGGAUGAUCAGCCACACUGGAACUGAGACACGGUCCAGACUCCUACGGGAGGCAGCAGUGGGGAAUAUUGGGCAAUGGGCGCAAGCCUGAUCUAGCCAUACCGCGUGGGUGAAGAAGGCCUUCGGGUUGUAAAGCCCUUUUGUUGGGAAAGAAAAGCAGCAGGUUAAUACCCCGCUGUUCUGACGGUACCCAAAGAAUAAGCACCGGCUAACUUCGUG
rnacentral:rRNA from 1 species